AGUGAACGCUGGCGGUAGGCCUAACACAUGCAAGUCGAACGGCAGCACAGUAAGAGCUUGCUCUUACGGGUGGCGAGUGGCGGACGGGUGAGGAAUACAUCGGAAUCUACUUUUUCGUGGGGGAUAACGUAGGGAAACUUACGCUAAUACCGCAUACGACCUACGGGUGAAAGCAGGGGAUCUUCGGACCUUGCGCGAUUGAAUGAGCCGAUGUCGGAUUAGCUAGUUGGCGGGGUAAAGGCCCACCAAGGCGACGAUCCGUAGCUGGUCUGAGAGGAUGAUCAGCCCCACUGGAACUGAGCCACGGUCCAGACUCCUACGGGAGGCAGCAGUGGGGAAUAUUGGACAAUGGGCGCAAGCCUGAUCCAGCCAUACCGCGUGGGUGAAGAAGGCCUUCGGGUUGUAAAGCCCUUUUGUUGGGAAAGAAAAGCAGCAGGUUAAUACCCCGCUGUUCUGACGGUACCCAAAGAAUAAGCACCGGCUAACUUCGUG
rnacentral:rRNA from 1 species